rnacentral:tRNA from 1 species
GGGCGCGUAGUUCAGUGGUACUUCGCUGGAAUUCCAAUGGUUUGCCGGAAGCACAACAGAAUGCACCGUUCGCAACGGUGAGAUCUCGGGUUCAAUCAGAUGUCACGUCAUCUGAAAGACGAAGCGACUUCGCAGAUUUGCUCAGUCGCGAAUAAUUUAGAGAGGUCGUGAAUCUUUGAAAAUCCCGACGCGUCCA